rnacentral:lncRNA from 1 species
GGGGGUUGUUUGCAGGAACUAUAAUUAGAUUUCUAAGAUUACCAUAUUUUCAAGGACUCAGAAUUAUGUAAAGAAAUGAAAUGUGUUAAAGGAUAAUCCACCCAUUACCUUUUUCUUGAGCUUGUUUUUGUCUCACUUUUGCAGGUCAAAGGCAGAAAUGAGACAUACCUGCCGUGGUACCAUUAACCUCGCCACAGCCAACAUCACUGUGGAGGACUCCUGCAACUUUAUCAUUUCCAAUGGGGGCGCUCAGACCUACCAUCUGAAGGCUAGCUCAGAAGUGGAGCGACAGCGCUGGGUGACAGCUCUAGAACUGGCAAAAGCCAAGGCUGUGAAGAUGCUAGCAGAAUCAGGUAGGAAGCAAAGAAGACCUUGCCUGGAAAGCUUUCCAUAUGUCC